rnacentral:tRNA from 1 species
UCCCUGAUAGCUCAGUUGGUAAAGAAUCUGCCUGUGAUGCAGGGGACUCUGGUUCGAUUCCUGGUUCAGGAA